CACGGGUGAGUAACACGUAUCCAACCUGCCGUCUACUCUUGGACAGCCUUCUGAAAGGAAGAUUAAUACAAGAUGGCAUCAUGAGUCCGCAUGUUCACAUGAUUAAAGGUAUUCCGGUAGACGAUGGGGAUGCGUUCCAUUAGAUAGUAGGCGGGGUAACGGCCCACCUAGUCUUCGAUGGAUAGGGGUUCUGAGAGGAAGGUCCCCCACAUUGGAACUGAGGCACGGUCCAAACUCCUACGGGAGGCAGCAUG
rnacentral:rRNA from 1 species